rnacentral:lncRNA from 1 species
ACAGGUUGGGAGGGGACAUUAGGCACAAUCCUGGAAUCCUGGGUUACACAGUGCUGAGAGCUCACGAAAGGGACAAAGAACUCACAUGGAAGGUUAAAGGAAAACAAAGUCAAGGGCGGCGUCCAGGGAGGCAAAUUAGCAGAUUCAAUGUGUUGACUCCAUGUGCCUGCUCUCCCCAUGGUGGUCCCCUCGGAGAAACAGCUGGGUAUGGGCCUCAGAGAGCUGUGUGCAGAUUCCUGCCCUGCCUCUUGGAGCAAAUUGCUCACCUGCUCUGAGCUCUAGGUCCCUCCCCAGUGCAAUGAGCAUGGCUGAAAAGGCUCAGAGCCUGGGGGCGAUGGGUGUGGCUGAUUAUAAGGAGACCAGGUCAUUCCAAACAGAAAAAAAAAAAAAUCAGUAUGGACAAGACUUUCAUGACUUUCCUGGACCAAAGAUAGAAAAAUCUGGACAAGAGUUCUUUGCUGAAGCCAGCCUGGACAAUGGCAGAAACGUCGUUUCUAAUGACAUCACCAUGAAGAGCACCAUCUGUGUGAAUACCAGGGUGGGGAUGCCACCAACCUCGGCUGUCCAGAGCCCCUGCACCGGAAGGAGAUACACCCUGGGAGAACGAAAAGGGCACACAGUUCCCAGGAAGUCCUAGAAAGUAGCAUGAGCAGCAGAGAAAACAUGGCAGAAGAAUCAUGUAUUUAAGUCAAAAUCUCACCCUGCUAGGAAGGUUUGUUCCUUGGAAGUCACGUCCAAUAGGGGAAGAAUUAGAAAGAACUAAAGCCAAAGUAUAAAGGAAACAAGGGAGAAGUGGUCCUGAAACCUGGCUCAGGCCACGUGACUGCCUUUUCAUUCACAGAAGUUCUUUGAGCAACCUAUAUUCUAGCCUUUUUGGUUGUGGAUUGACUCAAUUGCAAACACAUGCUGUAAUAACAGUGUAGACAAAAACAGGGCGAAACAACAAAUGAUUAUAAUUCCCAGAAUUAGUAACAGUUUUCUGCACCAAGUUCACCAAAAUACAAACCAGCUGAUUAAAUAAUCGGAGUAUUGAAUCUGAAAGGUUAGUUAUUUGAAUUUGUAUAUCCGUGAUUAAUUUCGUAAUGUUGUUCGAUUCAUCUGGGGUAUAGACACAACACUGAGUUUUUCUGACAGUACAAGUUCCUCCUUAGGCUGUAUUGAGUGUGUCUAAAGCCAUACUCUUCCGUAAUCUGGCAGUUCUCCUAAAAGCAACUUCAUUGUUUAGUGAAGACCUACCCAUGGAGCUAUUGCUCAGGGCCUUUUGUGUAUAACUGGCCAGGAUUUCUUCAUGACAAAUUAUAUUCUCAAUAGCUGAUUUAUGGUACAAAGAUGAAAGCUAAGUGAUGAUACCUAUGAAACACAGAAUGAACACAAUGAGAUUGUAAAUGAGGAAAAUUUGCAGAUUUUGACAGGGUAUGAACUACUUAACCUUGUGUUCAAGUAUAACCGAAAGAACACGGUCUUAACCAUCCUGGGGGUAAGCAUGGCCACAGGUUAGUACUACAUAGCCAAGACAUUCCAUUUGGAGCUAACCAGUAAAUACCUGCUCAUUGUGCCUGUUCACCAUCAUGCCAAUCAGUACUUUGUAAUGUAAUAGUGUGGAUAUGUCAUUCUUUGGAUAUCCAUCCCAUAUCUCCAGCACUGUUGGGUAUGGUAUCUUUGGUAUAAUUUAUCUGUUCACAAAACAAAGGGGCAAGCUGACUGAGAUGACCACAGCAGAGGGCAAGCCAGAUAAAACAGUCCCAAAUUUGCUUUAUACUAUCCUGAAAUCGAGUUGUCUUACCUCUCAAAUGAGGUAGUGUUGUUUCAUCCCUCUGUUGGGGCACCGUCGGUAUUAAAGAUAAUGCAUUAGUUCAUUUUUGCACUACUAUAAAUACUUGAAAGUGGGUCAUUUAUAAAGAAAAGAGGUUUAAUCAGCUCAUGGUUCUGCAGGCUGUACAGGAAGCAUGGCUGGGGAGGCCUCCAGAAACUUGCAAUCAUGGUGGAAGGAGAAGGGGAAGACGGGAUGGCUUACAUGGCCAGAGUAAAGGAAUAGAGAGAACGGGGAGGUGUCACACACUUAUGGACAAUCAGAUCUCAUGAGAACUCAUUCACUAUCAUGAGAACAGCAAGGGGGAAAUCUGCCCCCAUGAUCCCACAAGGCUCCUCCUCCAAUAGUGGGAAUCACAAUUCAACGUGAGACUUGGGUGGGGACACAAAUCCAAACCAUAUCAGGUAGCAAACUAGUUUCUUUUACUGAAAAGCUCUUCCCAUGCCCUUUACUCUGUAAAGUAUUAUUAAUAGGCCAGUGACAUACUGUGUCCUUAUUCAUACUAGUGUCAAGCAUCAAUUACCGUUUAGAGAAACAUGAAUGCAUUUCUGAUAUUGUACCCAAUCUUGUCCUUGGAGAGGAGAUACUCAUCAUGGAAUCUGGAAGGGGCCCACUACUGGAAGGGCCGUGAGACUCAUAUCAGCCCAUUUUUACAUUUAUGGAGAAAUAUGUGAGACUGGGUAAUUCAUAGAGAAAAGAGACUUAUUGCUUGGCUCAUGGUUCUGCAGGCUGUACAAGAUGCAUGGUGCCAGCAUUUGCUCAGCUUCUGGCAAGGCCUCGGGGAUCUUACAAUCAUGGCAGAACAGAAAGGGAGAGCUGGCAUAUCACAUGGCAUGAGGGGGAGCAAGAGAGAGGGGAAAGGUACCACAUUCUUUUAAACAAUGAGAUCUCCCAUGAACUCAGAGCAAGAAUUCAUGACUGUGAGGAGAAGCUAAGCCAUUCAUGCAGGACCCACCCCCAUGACAGAAACUCCUCCCACCAAGCCCCACCUCCAAUACUGGGGUUCACAUUUCAACAUGAGAUUUGGAGGUGACAAAAUAUCACCACACAUAAAUAAAAACUAUUCAAUAAUUAAUAAGUAAUUAAUUAAUUUAAUAAUUUUAUUUAUGUGUGGUGAUAUUUUGUCACCUCCAAAUCAAAAUAGAAAUUAUUUUAUUUUAACAAGAUUGGGAGGUACAUGCCACUGCACAUAAUAAAAUAAUUUAUUUUUAUAAUCAAAGAUAUCCCAUUUAGACCUUUUUAGUUUUAAAUCUUCAUAAGUUAAGUAAGAAUAUUUUUCUAGAUACUGACAGGAGAUGGUGCCAUAAUUAGUGUAUAUGAAUCAAACUGGAGUUUCUAAAGGUGGAUCGCUCAUCAAGAUGAAUGACUUAGCCUUAAAAGGAUGAUUGUCCAUAAUCUGAGUUCUGUUUCUCUCUCUGUUGUUUUUUUAAAGAUUCAUGAGGUGUAUGAGCAUGUUUGUUACACAGGUACAUUGCAUGCUGGGGUUUAGGCUUCCAUCUAACUCAUCACCCAAAUAGUGAACAUAGUAUCCAAUAGGUAAUUUUUACACCUUGCUUUCCUUUUUUACCCACUUACAAAGUCCCUAGUGUCUACUUAUUCCAUCUUUACGUCCAUGAGUAUCCAAUGUUUACCACCCACAUACAAGUGACAGCAUGCAGUAUUUGAUUUCCUGUUUCUGUAGUAAUUCACUUAGGAUAAUGGGCCUCCAGCAGCAUCCAUGUUGCUGCAAAGUACGUCCUUUCAGUCUUUUUGUUGGCCACAUAAUAUUCCAUAGUAUAUAUGUGCCACACUUCCUUUAUUCAAUUCUAAUGGGCACUUAGGUAGAUUCAUUGACUUUGCUGUUGUGAAUAGUGCCAUAAUAAACAUAUGAUUGCAGGUAUCUUUUCGAUAGAAAAAAAUAUUUUGCUUU